GGCCCUGGAGUGUGAGCACGUGCGGUUGCAACCCGCGAAAAGCAGGAUGACACCUGCCGGGGCUU
rnacentral:tRNA from 1 species